GACGAACGCUGGCGGCGUGCCUAACACAUGCAAGUCGAGCGGAGGUUUUCGAGGAGUAAUCUGAGGGGACUUCAGCGGCGGACGGGUGAGUAACGCGUGAGCAACCUGCCUUUCACAGGGGGAUAAGGCGGCGAAAGCCGCUCUAAUACCGCAUGAGACCACGGUACUGAUGGUACAGGGGUCAAAGGAGCAAUCCGGUGAGAGAUGGGCUCGCGUCCGAUUAGGUAGUUGGUGAGGUAAAGGCCCACCAAGCCAAUGAUCGGUAGCCGGCCUGAGAGGGUGAACGGCCACAUUGGAACUGAGAGACGGUCCAAACUCCUACGGGUGGCAG
rnacentral:rRNA from 1 species